rnacentral:rRNA from 1 species
AGGCUUUGAUCCUGGCUCAGGAUGAACGCUGGCGGCGUGCUUAACACAUGCAAGUCGAACGAACCUACGGGUUAGUGGCGGACGGGUGAGUAACGCGUGAGAAUCUGCCCUCAGGAGGGGGAUAACGGCUGGAAACGGCCGCUAAUACCCCAUAUGCCGAGAGGUGAAAUGAGUUAUCGCCUGAGGAUGAGCUCGCGUCUGAUUAGCUAGUUGGUGGGGUAAGAGCCUACCAAGGCAUCGAUCAGUAGCUGGUCUGAGAGGAUGAUCAGCCACACUGGGACUGAGACACGGCCCAGACUCCUACGGGAGGCAGCAGUGGGGAAUUUUCCGCAAUGGGCGAAAGCCUGACGGAGCAACGCCGCGUGAGGGAUGAAGGCCUCUGGGCUGUAAACCUCUUUUAUCAAGGAAGAAGAUCUGACGGUACUUGAUGAAUAAGCCACGGCUAAGUCCGUGCCAGCAGCCGCGGUAAUACGGGAGUGGCAAGCGUCAUCCGGAAUUAUUGGGCGUAAAGCGUACGCACGCGGCCUUUUAAGUCUGUGGUCAAGCGUGGAGCUUAACUCCAUAUAUGCAAUGGAACUGGAGGCUGAGUGUGUAGGGGAGAGGAUGCCCGUGUAGCGUGAAUGCGUAU